UUUCCGUAGGUGAACCUGCGGAAGGAUCAUUAUUGUAUAACCGAGGUGCGAGGGCUGUCGCUGACCCGAAAGGUCGUGCACGCCCGAGUGCCCUCACACACAUCCAUCUCACCCCUAUGUGCACCACCGCGUGGGUCCCCCUUUGGCUUGUUCGGAGGGGGGCUUACGUUUUCACACAAACUUUGUAUGCAGUGUAGAAUGUAUUUUUUUGUUUUUGCGAUCACGCAAUCAAUACAACUUUCAACAACGGAUCUCUUGGCUCUC
rnacentral:misc_RNA from 1 species